rnacentral:misc_RNA from 1 species
GAAAUGCGAUAAGUAGUGUGAAUUGCAGAAUUCAGUGAAUCAUCGAAUCUUUGAACGCACAUUGCACUCACUGGUAUUCCGGUGAGUACGCCUGUUUCAGUAUCGUUGAAAACACACAAUCAAAAAGAAAUUUUUUUUUCUUUUUUCGAUUGGCUUUGGGUUCGUCUGGUCUUUCAUCGACCAAGCUGCCUGGAAUAUAUUGUCUGGUUACUGCAUCGUUAAUGAUCGCAAUCAGACUGUGGCUAUUCCAAAGAAACUACGUUUCUUCUACUUUGGCUUUAGCUUCAGUCAAAUUUGAUAGCGUAAACGAUCUUUAGUCUGAGCUACAGUCGUGUCAAACGCCUGUAGGGAAACUAUAUCAUUUUAUAUCGAUCUGAAAUCAGGUGGGACUACCCGCUGAACUUAAGC